UUGAAUUUUAAAAAAUGAGUUGAGUCAGUUUCAUCUUCUUCUUCCUCCAAAAAUGUUAUAGAACCACAACAAAUUAGUGGUAGUUUUCUCCUAUUCUUAACGACGAAACGGAGGCAACACCAGCAGAGAGGAACAGAAAGAGACAUUGGUCCUUGCGAAGUUUUUCGCAACUUCUUCUUCCCCGACUAUAUGGGACACGUCGUUGACUCCACCGACUCCUUAUACUUCCAUUCUGAUUCACUGCCCCAAAGACAGUGCAGUAAGCUUCUUUUUCAGUUUAGCUUGUUCAUUUUCUCUUUCAACAUUGUAAGUAAUUGUUUGUAUAACAUCAGUGGAAUAAUAAAAUAUUUUUUUGAGUUAAAAGUAAUUUUAGAAACCGUGCUGUAUUGGUUUCUUAAAAAUUGCGUAUUUCUUUUAUCAAUUUAUUUUGGAAAUUAUAUUUAGGUUCUAUUUUUCCGUGUAAUUUGUUCGGAACCCAAGUUAUGAACCUUGGGGAAUUUUAAUAUUCGGAGAAUGGUUCUUCCUAACUUAAUGUGGUGCCUGAUUUCUAGUAGUUGGUGUUCUUGUGAGAAGUUUCCUGUAGAUUUUGGGAACGUUUUAGAUUUUCUCAAAGUUUUUUGUAGGUUUCGAAAGAGGAGGUUGGUGGGGAAGCUCACGUUUUGGUUACCAUGGAGAAUAUUGCGAUUGGAUUUUAUGGUGAAGGAGAUGUGCGAUUUGCUCGUAGAUUUAGGAAUACAGGUUUCGGUGUGGUUGAAUUGCAAGGAAGGAGAUAAACAUUGGCCAUGGUAGCUGGCCAUGAUUGAUCGCGGUUGUUGAUGGAGUUCAUGGUGGCUAUCGUGAUUUUGAAAGCAACCUCAAAGAAGCCAUUCGUAUCUCCUUAGAAACCCUAACCCCUCUUUUUUAACCUCUGUAAACAAAAAAUGUCACUUAAUAUAUUUUUUGGUUUCAAUUUUAACCCCACUGCCACAAAACUGUCACA
rnacentral:lncRNA from 1 species